GCCCAGAUGGCGAAAUUGGUAGACGCGCUAGUUUCAGGGACUAGUGGUCGUAAGGCUGUGCAGGUUCGAGUCCUGUUCUGGGCACCA
rnacentral:tRNA from 1 species